UGAGUAACCUGCCCUUAACUCUGGGAUAAGCCUGGGAAACCGGGUCUAAUACCGGAUAUGACUGCCGGCCGCAUGGCCUGGUGGUGGAAAGCUUUAUUGCGGUUUUGGAUGGACUCGCGGCCUAUCAGCUUGUUGGCGGGGUAAUGGCCCACCAAGGCGACGACGGGUAGCCGGCCUGAGAGGGUGACCGGCCACACUGGGACUGAGACACGGCCCAGACUCCGUACGGGAGGCAG
rnacentral:rRNA from 1 species